ACACCACAGUGCUUUACACGGCCUCGCAGCCAGCACCACCUUUAAGCCGCUAGGACCAGUAACCACUCCAGCAGCUGCCAUCGACAUGGCCUUGAGCUAGGAUCUGAGGCUCAUCACCACGAUGAAGCCACAGUGCACAGUAUAGCCACCACUCGCUGCCAUCGACAUGGCCUUGCGCUUGGAUAUGAGGCUCAUCACCACGACGAAGCCACAGUGCACAGUAUAGCCACCACUCGCGGCCAUCUUGGCUCUGCCACUAAUUACGCCCCA
rnacentral:lncRNA from 1 species